rnacentral:rRNA from 1 species
AUUGAACGCUGGCGGCAGGCCUAACACAUGCAAGUCGGACGGUAGCACAGAGGAGCUUGCUCCUCGGGUGACGAGUGGCGGACGGGUGAGUAAUGUCUGGGGAUCUGCCCGAUAGAGGGGGAUAACCACUGGAAACGGUGGCUAAUACCGCAUAACGUCGCAAGACCAAAGAGGGGGACCUUCGGGCCUCUCACUAUCGGAUGAACCCAGAUGGGAUUAGCUAGUAGGCGGGGUAACGGCCCACCUAGGCGACGAUCCCUAGCUGGUCUGAGAGGAUGACCAGCCACACUGGAACUGAGACACGGUCCAGACUCCUACGGGAGGCAGCAGUGGGGAAUAUUGCACAAUGGGCGCAAGCCUGAUGCAGCCAUGCCGCGUGUAUGAAGAAGGCCGUCGGGUUGUAUAGUACUUUCAGCGGGGAGGAAGGCGAUGUGGUUAAUAACCGCAUUGAUUGACGUUACCAACAGAAUAAGCACCGGCUAACUUCGUGCCAGCAGCCGCCGCGG